ensembl:lncRNA novel transcript, antisense STOM
UGGGAAACGUGCCGUUGGCAGCCCGCCACCCCUCCAUCGUGACCUCAGUCUGCCAAACAGGGAAAUUACUCCAGGAUUUGAAUCAUCACAAGAGAUUCACCAGAGGAUUUUAUACACUUGGGCUGUGGCAGCAGACUAAUUACAUCACAGCACUAGAGCUGAGAUACUGGCUGGGUGGAUUUCAGCAAAUUUCCAAGGGCACAUGACAUGUGGGCACAAAAGCCGGGAUUUCACACCAGGGGAUAAAGUAUAUCAGAAAUGAAGGCUGGGACAGGAAUGUUCCCCAAAUGACACUGCUUAAGAGAACUUUGAGGAGAACUGAGGGCAAGAUACAAGCCAUGGUUCUAUACAGAUAAGUCUACGGAAGCUGCAGAAAUAACAUUCCAGAUCCCCAGGAAUCCACCCACCCACCCCUCCGACUUUGGCCGAACACCAUGGCUGGCUGCCGUGUGAAGAAUGGACUGUAGGGGG